UACGAGGGGGGCAAAUGUUGUUCGGAAUCACUGGGCGUAAAGGGAGCGUAGGCGGCUUGUUAAGUCUUGCGUGAAAUCUCGGGGCUCAACCCCGAGCGGUCGUGAGAAACUGGCAGGCUAGAGUGCGGGAGAGGAGAGUGGAAUUCCUGGUGUAGCGGUGAAAUGCGCAGAUAUCAGGAAGAACACCCGUGGCGAAGGCGGCUCUCUGGAACGCAACUGACGCUGAGACGCGAAAGCGUGGGGAGCAAACAGG
rnacentral:rRNA from 1 species